rnacentral:rRNA from 1 species
CCUUGACAUGCAGAGAACUUUCCAGAGAUGGAUUGGUGCCUUCGGGAACUCUGACACAGGUGCUGCAUGGCUGUCGUCAGCUCGUGUCGUGAGAUGUUGGGUUAAGUCCGUAACGAGCGCAACCCUUGUCCUUAGUUACCAGCACGUUAUGGUGGGCACUCUAAGGAGACUGCCGGUGACAAACCGGAGGAAGGUGGGGAUGACGUCAAGUCAUCAUGGCCCUCACGGCCUGGGCUACACACGUGCUACAAUGGUCGGUACAAAGGGUUGCCAAGCCGCGAGGUGGAGCUAAUCCCAUAAAACCGAUCGUAGUCCGGAUCGCAGUCUGCAACUCGACUGCGUGAAGUCGGAAUCGCUAGUAAUCGUGAAUCAGAAUGUCACGGUGAAUACGUUCCCGGGCCUU